rnacentral:lncRNA from 1 species
CAGAGAGGCACAAGUCCAUUUGCCCUAGUUUUCUACCUUCAAUACAUUUACAUAUUAUAUAAAAUGAACCAAUUCCCUUUCUGCAAAUGAGGAGGUGGAUGUUAUAGUUCUGCCGAUUAAUUAGUACUGAAAUUCCACCUUUAUCUUUAUCUUAUAAACAUUAUAAAACUGAAAAAUCCACGAAGAAACUCAUAAACAAAAUUUAACUGCUCUGUAAGCAACAUGUAAUUCUCAAUUGAAAUCACAGCUUAAAUGACAAUUUUUUCCAAAAGCAAUACAGAAAAAGAUUCAAUAGUAUUUUGGUGGAUACAUAGUACUCAGUAAGGAUGUGUUGAUAUUAUUUGGAAUAGAUAUAGAGAUCAUCUAUUGAAAAAGGUGUAUGCAAGUGGAAUACAUACACUACAGUACAGAGCUGAUGCCCACGUUGGAGGAUAUAAAACGCUGAAUACAAGUGAGGGACGUGCCCGUUCGUUGGUUUUGCCCGCAGUGUAAAUGUCCUCCGAAAGAAUCAUCCACGACGGACGCAGAUAGUAAAGGCCAACCGAGGUGUUCUUCAUCUGUCCAAGUCCAAAGCACUUUCCACAUGCGUUUCUGGCCCCUGUAAGGCCGGGGGUGGGGUCGCAAAGCCCUCGUGAAGUGCGAACUUUAACAAACUUCAUGCGAUGCUCAUUGGCUACACACCGCUCUGCCCACGUGGGCUUUGGUAAUUUGUCUCACGAUCGUGACUUCGACGCUCCUGUUGGUUUUGGGUUCGCUGCCAUUUACUCUGGUCUGCCCUCAUUUUGUAAUUUCACUCCUAUUAGGGCUUGUCAACGUACAUUGUCAACCGUUUUACGCCAAAUUAAGUAUCGACGUCCGCAAUGCUCAUCCGCUUCCAGCUCACUCCAUUGGUUUGCCCUUAAGCAGAAUAUAGUUUUGGGCUCAUAAGGGGGGUUUCCUUCUGGAUGUCAAUACGAAGGGUGCAUAGUCCAAUACCAGCAUAAUUAAUGUGGUGAUGCUGUUGUUGAAUUUGUGCCUCCAACCUAAUCUCGCAUUGUCAACAACUCGUUGAAAUCGAAGUGGAAAUUUACCCGAGUUUGUGGCAGAGAUUAUUUACAGUUCACAAGGGUUUGAUCUCGGGGUUCCAAGAAAGUAGGGCGUUGAUUAUGGAAAGGCAAAUGCUGGUUAAGGUGUCUCCGCCGGCGAUGACCUGCAAGAGCAUGAUCGAUUGUCUGCCAAGAGCAGCUAAGCAUGAGCAAUUCAGCAUUCUGGAACCAGGGCCACAAGUUUCAAGCGCAGCAGGUAACAACCUUAUUUAAUUUCGAAUAAUGAGGUUAGCUGGCGGAGGGAUGAGAAGCGCUGUGGGGGUCAAUGUAAGCGCUCUAUCCCCCUCCCGAAUUGGAAAACGAAUCCCCGAAGGUCGAUCGGGGACGAUUGAACGGAUUGUCGAGGGUUUGAACGGGAAGGGUGGGGAUGGGGUGAAACAGGCCCAAGAGACCUUGGACCGUUCGUUACCGCUCGCUAGCUUACUCGCUUUCUUCUUGUGAGAUCGAACCCUGAAUUCGCCGGAACGCUUUAGGGAUGUCCCGGUAGGAGCUUUUUCAUUCGUGCGGAGUCCGCUGGAGGGGCUUUAUCAUCCUGGGACGAGAAAAGCCCAUCCACGUGGGUCUGGGUCCCUGAAGUGCUCGCUUCCCAGCCUCUAUUCCUCCCUCGCUUCGCUUUUGUUGCAUCUCACUCAGCACUCGCAGAUCGCGCACUGAGCGCCUGCCUCCCCUGUAGUGUCUCCUCUCGAUCUUCCCUUUCCCUUGCCUUGUCUUCGUUCUUUCCUGCUCUCUUUCGAUUUCUCUAUUGCAUCCUGGCGUUGGGUGCACUGCUAGUUUGACGGUGUUCUCCUAUCGUUUGCGCCGCAGUUUGGGUUGUGCGAACGGUUGGUCGAGUGUAAGCCAGAGUUGGAGGGUUUCUGAAGUUUUUGGGUUAACCAGGUUUGUUGUGAUAGAAGAGUUGCCGUUGCUAUCGUGUGUGGCGUAGUAAGUUUUGGUUAGAGAAGUGGAGAUUUGAGAGAUUUUUGAGAGCUUUUUUUUGCACGGCGCUCAAUUAGACGGGUUUGCUCUGUCCAACUUGCUAACUUGCAACUGGAUCUGUGUGUGGGCAUUCCGCUACAAUCUGCUACGUUUUGAGUGACUUUCCUGCAAUCGCCGAGUUUAUGUUUGUGUGGUGUUUCGGAGAUGAGCUGUUGAAGAUACUUUACUUGCACACAAGCCUGUUCUUCGCAUUUCUUCGUCACCGUCGUCAUUUGCUGUCUAACACUACUAUCGAAGCAUCUGUCUUGCUUGUCUACUACAACUUUAUUUGCGUCGUCUGCUCCGAGUCGUCGGCCAGACUUUUUUAGAGAGCAUUUGGGAACAGCCGUCCUCACCAUUCAAGUUUUGAUUUUGAGGGGUGUUUCUACGGAAGACGGUAGUGGAAGCGGAGGUAUCACAGCGGGUGGACGUUUCCCAGAUCUCUGGAUGGGGCUUUGGGUGCAGGUAGUGCAACGGGGAAUGAUUUCAGUCACCAUCCAUAACAGCGAACGUUUCACACAAGGCGGUGGGAGAAAUAGAAUUCAUGGGUGUGAAUGAGAGAUAGUGGGCGAAGAUUUCAGAGAUGAGCGACAACCAGUUUCAGGUUUGAAGGUAGUUUUUCAGGUUUUAUAUUCUAUUGCAGAGCUUGACUUUUGCUUUGACCGAUGGUACAAAGGAAAAAGUUGUUGCUCUCCUUAAGAUUGGGUUAGGAUUUCAGUGUGGUUACGGAACACCAAGGACUAAAGUUAUGAUCCCGAUGACACCCAGUUCUUCUGCUGCUGGCUACCGUGAGCACGAAGGCGCAGGCGAAGAAGGCACCUAUUGGCCAUCCGUGUCGCCUGGCGUUCCGCUCUCUACCUCGGGAGAUGAAGGUGCAAGUACCAAGGUGCGGAAGCCCUACACGAUAACCAAACAGAGAGAGAGGUGGACCGAGGAGGAACACCAAAAGUUUUUAGAGGCACUGAAGCUCUAUGGGCGCGCUUGGCGCAGGAUUGAAGAACACAUUGGCACGAAGACCGCCGUGCAGAUUCGGUCUCAUGCUCAGAAGUUUUUCUCCAAAAUAGAAAGGGACGUGACUGCGGGGCAAGGGACCGAAACAGGGGUAGCACAGGUGAUAGAUAUUCCCCCACCUCGUCCCAAGAGGAAGCCCACUCACCCGUAUCCUCGCAAAGCUGGUCGCAGCUUUGGUAAAACAUCUGAGGACGAGUGCCCUUUGGCAGCUGCAGGUUCGAUUGUUUCUUCUUCCGGUGUUUCCACUGCGAAUAUUUCAGAAGCUUGUUUAAAGGAAGGCGUGUGGGAUCAAGAUGAUACUGGAGUGGCUGGUCAUCAAGAUGCUGCCAAAGCAAAGAAAGACGCCGAUACCGCUCAUUCUUGGGGCGUCCCAAAGACGGUCAAUUCCGCCACUUCAGGUUCACCAACGGCUCGGCCUGUCAAUGUGGCUCUAAAUGGUGGACUGCCGCUUAACAACAUUUCGCCGGUUCCAAUUCCAGGUUUCCCAGCCAUGCCGCCGUGGAAUCGGCUUUUCGGUGGAGCGAUGAACCCGGCCAUGAUGAAUCCUGCGAUGUUGAAUUCUGCGAUGAUGAACCCGCAGGGUAUGCUUAUGCCUUGGGCUACAGCGCCCAACGUUCAAGGUCUUGAGAAUGGAGGUGCGGUCUCAGCCAUGGCGGCCACAAUCGCAGCCGCUUCUGCCUGGUGGGCUAUGCAAGGAGGUAUGCCGCCUGGUGUGAUGCAUCCAGCUUUGGGUGCCAUGUAUUUAGGGGCAGCACCUCCUCUUGCCAUUCCCACACCAUACAUUUUUUCUCAAUGCGUACCCCAAGAGAUCACUGUGGCUGCAGCUCCAUGUGCUGAUGGCAAUGAAGUUCCGACAGCACAGGUUGUGGAUGAUGGCCAGGAAGUCUUAAGCAACAAUAAUCACUCGAGAUCGAGUGCCAUGCGGAGGGCGGAGCGAGCACAGCGGGUGAAAGAGCUCAAGGCUCGGCGAAUGGGCUCGGGAAAUCAUUUGUUGUCUGUUUCGUCUGAUAUUUGUGCUUCCACUUCAGGAGGAAGCGGAACGAAUCUCACCACCCAGUUAACCGCUGGUGGACUGACUUCGGAAAGUGCCGUGAAUUCUCUCUCCAAAGGGAGCUCUCUUCCCGCAGAUCUGAGCAAGGUGAAGCAUGUUCUAAAUGGCCUAAUUCGGAAGGACAGGGAAGCGCCUGUGGAUGGUUGCUCUGCAGAUGACGGAGUCGACAAUCGGAAGCGACUUCGAGGAAGUAGACCCUCAGAUGAUACGGCAAUGCCCGAUGGGGAAGGAUAUCAUUCCACAUCUGGUCUAGGUCGUGAAGCUCCAGGAAGCAUGGAUUCUCAUUUAGAGAAGGUUCGGUCCGUCAGCGGCUCGAAUUCUAUACCCGGGAAGUUUACCAAGGUUGACGUUGAAAGGCUUGCUUGUGAUGAGAAAACUGCUCCUACCCAGGCUUCAUGUGGGAGUGACGUUAGUGAAGGUGCAGGUGUUGCUCCGAUCGAUGGUGAUGGUGAUGGUGAUGCAUCUGGAGGAGGUCCAAGCUCCAAUUCAUCAGCAUGUGGGAAUGUUCCCGGAGGUAAUGAGAGGUCAGGAUCAAGUGAUGGAUCGUCAGAAGGAGAAGCAACCUGCAAUGUUGAUAGACAACGAGAAGCAGGGAAGAACGGGACGAGUUCGUCUGAUCCUGAAGCUGAGGAAGAGGCAGAUGAGAAAGUUGGGAGAGCUGCCGAGCAAUUCACGUUCAACGAAUUUCUCCCGGUUAGUAAAGAUGGGGAUAAACACGAGAAACCUGAGACUUCAUCGAGGCUGCCAAGAACAGUGUCAAUCGAUGGGGAGCAGAGGAAAGAAGUCACCGAAAGGGGCCAGAUCGCCUUUCAGGCUCUAUUUAAACGAGACACUCUACCUCGGACAUUUUCCCCUCCUCCAGGCCUGGCUCUUGGUACAGGAACAAAAGAGGCUGCUAAACAGCAACCAUCUGUGUCUACCAUGAGCAGAAGCCUGAGCGCUAACGCGAUUACAUGCGAUAGCUUGGAGCUACGGACUUCACAACGGAAUCAUAAAGACCAAGAUAGUGCUUUCAAUACAUGGAAUCAUUUGAGAGGUACUUCCAGCGCCUCAAAGGUAGACCGGUGUGAAAGCGGCAUAUCUAUUCCAUCCUCGAGACCAACAAAAAGUUUAGAGGAUCUUCGGUCUUCUGAGCGCCGACGAGGCAGUCGGAAGGGGCGGUCGCACACUGGAGCCAACAACUGGCUCCAAUUGUGGACGGAUACAUCGUCUCUUGACAAAGAUGAGGAUGCAGACGAAGAUGACGAGGAAGACGAGAGUGCCGACUCGGGAGCAGAUGACGGUUGCAAGAAGCAACAACAAAAAGCAAGCUUUGUUUGCAAGCUUGAUAUGUCGAUUUCAAAUCAGGAGGUAGAACUCAUUUCUGAUGUAGAAGGUACGGGUGCUAGCAGCCUUAAUAUUAGUUCGACAGUUAGAAGUCAAACAUUGUUCUUGUCUGUAGGUACAGGUGGUUUGAAGAACGCUGUUUCGAAUGUGCCCACAAGAACUGUGAAAUACAGUGGCGUGGGAUUUGUUCCAUAUCAAAGAGCUUCCACCCGCACGGAGCCUCUUGUAGAUAAGCUUUGAUGAUUGAUGGAGGCUUCUUUCCAUCUUCAAUUUAAUUCAACACCUUAUUUCUUUUCGUGACAUACAAAAGUCACAUUCCACCACUUUCCCACAUGCGUUUGCACAUGCCUGACAUCAACUUGUCCAUUUUACCACGCCUGUAUUUUGCUCUACGAGCUCGUUCCAGGUGUUCGCCUCUCCUUCAGGAGGAGGAGCUCAAAUCUUUUUCAGAUUUUCCCACAAUCUAUCUACUCAGUCUGUACUCAUUAUAGUGCUUUCCUUCCACUUGUUCCCCAAUCGACAUUAUUGUGCGUUUGCCUCACACGAUCUUGUGUUAUGACAUGGAGGCAAUUUCUACAGAUUUGGUUCUGAUCACCAUUUUGUGUGAGGAUUGUGUGAGAUUUAUCGUGAUGAUUGCGAGUGACCAAUGAAUGUUCUGUGCAGAAGCCGAAUUUGUUGAUGUGACGGAAAGUGAAAGCGACCUUGAAAUCGGAGGGAAUGUACUUUCAUGCCGUUUUCAGCCCAGUUCUGACCAACCAGAACUAGUUCUGGCGUCGUGGAGGUACGUCGUCUUCGGUUGUAGUUUGUAGGUCGCUUGUCAUAUUCCUAUGAAUUGAGAUUCUAAUUGCUCUUGAAGGCAUGUGAUAGGCACCUCAGUUGCUCUGAGCGAGAGAGAGAGAGAACGAACCUUGCCAUGUGCUCGGUGGUGGUUCACCUUGUCCACGCUAAUUGCGAAAAGAGACUUGAUGACGACAAUUAGCUUCUUGUCCUGUUUCUUCAUAUUCUUAUUGCAUGAUGGAUGCUGCAGUGAGUCGGUUCUUCCUGUUCAAUACUGUUAUGCACUUCUAUGCCCUUGAGCACAGUUUGCAACAAAAGUAAGGUCUAGCGCUGAAAAUAGCCACUCAGAAACUAGACAAGCGAUGCAUAAAAUGAUCAAUAUUGUUAUGCAUAAAAAGGUCAGAGCAGCUGCCAGCUUUCUAUUCGGCACAUUAAUUAAUUUCUUCGUAACCUGAACGCGGGAAGCUAAGAUCACCAGCAAAAAAAAGUUCCGAGACUGUAGCUGAUAUCAUGAUGAAUUUGUGAAAUGUCAUGUAAGCGGCUAAUGUAGAAGAAUGACACCGAGGUAAUCCAAUCAUAAGCGUCGUGCCUAAUUUACUGUGAAGCUAUGCUGACAGAAGACCUAAACCUGAUGGUGAUAUAUCAACAAUUUCUACGUUUCACUCAGCAAGCAGCAUUCACCUUCUUCAAGUGAGUGAAAGAGGUAUACGCCUUCAAUGUACCCUCAGAUAUCACAAUCAACUAUUAAUUCCUUCACAUGACUUAUCGUUUCCAGAUUCCAAAUUUCUAUACAUAUGCGGCAACUUGGUGCCAUGCAUGCUUGACUUAUUCCUCGUCAAUUUGUGAUCAAUUCCCUGUCAGCCAGCCUGAAAUGCCCUCGACUUCAGUAGGCCAUUCACUGUAUCUGAUGUCUCACCUGCGUUUGUUCUUUGUUGAAGGUCAAACCACUGAAAGCAUCUAGAAAGUGCGCACUGUAACUCACAAGAGUCGCUCUUCUACAUCGAAGUGGAAGAGCUUGCAUUGUCUUCCUGCACCUGGGAAGAAGGUUAUGAUUGAUCCUUAGAACUGUGAGCUUCCUGGGCUUUUCAGUUCACGACGUUGAGCUUCGAUGGCCAUCCAGUCCUACACAUGGCUCCUGGCCAACUGGAUCAAAUAAAUGCCAUGGGAACCAAAACCCUAAAUUCGGUUUCACUUGAAAAAGAAGUCCUGUUAAUUACCUGCCGUCGGUUCCAGUAGCUCAAAGGGACGUCAGCUGUUGCAGAAUUCACAGCUCCGGCUCACUAUAGAUCAAAAAGUUGCCGUCGUCUUGUAGCUACGCCUAAUAUUUUGCGGGUUUACUGUAGAUGUGGGUGAAGGCCUGGAAUUCGACAAUGUGUGCCAUGUAGACGAUCACAAGAUCGCCAUCAUCCUACACAAUUGCGUAGCAGUUGGCUCCUUGGCCGAACGUGUUGGUCACCCAUGACGGCAGCCGGCUCUUCGCAAAAUCGUACAACACAAGGUUGCAGUCGUUCUGCAUAGCAAGCAGAUACCUGUCAUUCUUGCUCCGAAGGGCGAAUCCUACCGGAAACUGACCUAGUGCCACUACUAUGCUCUGUGCCUCUUGAACCCCAUCCGCAGCGCAUGGAAUGGAGGUUAGUGUCAUCACAAAGUUCAAGAGGUUGAGUAAGCGGCUUUUGAAAAUGUACAUCUCCAUUCCUUAUAAAACAGGUAGUUAUUCUACUUAUGUGCUCGAUUCAUGUUUUAGGUGUGCGUUAUUUUACAAGCCACUCUUAAUUCAUCUUCUUCAUCAUCACCAGGUAUUGCGCAUGAAAAAGGCAGCUGCGACACGCAUUUGUACCCUGUUCGCUCCACCAGUCAUCUGCUGCUAAGUUACAGGAUUGAGUAUCGUAGGCAAUCCAGAAACCGUGUUAAAAUUCAAACCACUUUCCUUUGUUGCUAACAAUCUUUCGUCGCAUAUUGUUGACUAAAGGUAGUGCUGGCGAGUUGGUUUGCACGUCACUUAUGUGUUACGUAUGUAUGGCGUGCUAUUCGUAGAACGCCCGAUCAGGACUGCAAUUGAAGCGAUGAGUGAAAAAUGUACCUUGUUUUAGAAUUCAAAUAUGGCUUCCUAGUUACGACGGUGACAAUUGUGAAUCCAUGAAGCGAUCGUAGCUAAUGGUCGUGUUCCAUGCCAUGGGCGUCGAAGAACCACACGGCAGAGAUGUCAGAAUGGCGUAAUGCUCGGCAAAAGUCCACGAGCUGCAGACGGCUAGCGUUGGAAGUGUAACACUCGUAUUCCUUCGUCCUUUAGCUCGUGUUCAUGGCUGUCAAAAGAGGCGCACUAUGUCACUCCUUCUCGCGCGUGUUGUUGACCUACGAAACUCAAAUAUCCCUGUGAGCUGAACCAACUCGAAAUCUUAAACAUGGGGGCGGAGCAUAAGCACACACAUUUUACAUGAUUUUAAGGUUUUAUUGACUAACAUGCGAUGCUCGACAUGCGUAAAGUACAUGUUUCAGAGGAGGGAGAUGCAACAGACUGUCACCACUAAGCACAUGCAGAUACUUGGCGACGGCCCGUCCUAAAAUUUCUGCCAGCGAUUUUUAAAUUUUCGUCACCGAUGCACCGCCAACUCGUUCGAAGGGUGUCUCUGUUGGAAUAAAUACGCACAGGGUUUCCAGCCCGAUACCGCACUCGGGGCCACAUGGAUAUCCGCCAGCUUCGAACAUCAGUUAUGUAAUAGUGUCACCAAAAUUAGAAGCUCAUUUGUAUAGUCUAUAAAGUUUAUACAGUGAGAGUGAGGUUUUUGUGAAAGAUCGAUUUGAGUCUAUCAGGUCAUUUGAGAUCAUGUAUAAAUUCAACACACAUGAUACUAGAGCACAAUUUAGAGUCAUUUACAAGAGUCAAGUUUAUUUAGUAGAGAGCAGAAUAUAAAUAUUAUAUCAAGUAAUUUACUUGUUAAAAGAAUGCAAUAGAAACAAUCAUCUACAAUGUGGAAAGGCCAACUAGCUGAUUGAUAAAGAUAACUUUUAUUUCUUGAGUUUGAAGAUGAAAAACGUUUUUACAAGCAAUUUUUUUUGUGGGAGCUUACUACAAUAAAGCUAAUACUUGCAUCAUAUCCAUAUACAUACAAUGGGUGCACAUUGGCAGAGAAUCAGUUUUUCCAUAUAAAAGAAAAAAGUAAUGAAGAUUCUAACUUUUGCUAUGAAAGACUACCUUAUAGAUUUGAUAACUAAAUACAAGAAUCCAACAAACACUUUGAGAACAUUAAAGGAUGAAUAUGAGAGCAAAGAUCCUACUAUGGUCUUAAACUUCAAUUAUAAACUUUCAACAUUGAAGUUUCAAAACUUUACUUCAAUAAAAGAGCCCUUGAGGAUGGCUCACAAAAUUAAAAAUCAAUUGGCUAUACGUGGUGAAAUUGUUCUUGCCAAAAUCCUUGUAUAAACAAUUUUCAAUAGAUUAACUUCUUCUUUGGACAGUCUAAUAUACAGCCUCAUAGCCACUGAUCAACUUUUUAGCUUUGAAAAAUUAUUAUUUAGAUUGAUAGUUGAGACACACAAACUAUAACUUAAAGCAAAUACUAAGAAUGAAUCCUUAACAAUAUAAGUAUUUGGAACUUAAGAAAUAUAAGAGAUAGAAGGAGGUAUUCAUCUUGUAGAAAUAAGUGUCAUUUUUUUGAGAGGCUGAGAUAUUGUUAGAGCUCUUCAUGCUAAUAGAAACAUAUGCCUAAUGUAUUGCUACUUUUGUGAUAAAACAAACUACAUGGCAAAGAAUUGCAAAUUCAAGAAGUUGCUGCCAAACCUCAAUAAGCCAAUAACAAGCAUCAUAGAGGCUCAUGAUGAUUCUUCCAACUAUGAUUACGACAAUUCUAAUAUACAAAAGUCAAAGAUUAAUCUUAUUAAUAUUAAUACAAUAAGAAAUAAGAAUUGCAAUUAGUAUAUUGAGAUUGGAUCUUUUCAAUAUGUGAUAAGUAAUAGACUAGAAUUACACUUGUUCAAACCUAUAAGUUACUUUUAUAGAUUUAAAGUAGCAAGUAGUGAAUUAUGUUCUACUUUUAGGUAAGAAGAGAUCCAUAUUAAAAUUAAUAAUAGGGACUCUAAGAAAGUAAAUAAUGCUCAAUUUGUAUCUUCUUUGAAGAAAAGCUUGUUAUUAAUGGACUUCCUUGCAAAUGAAGGAAACUUGGUGAUCUUCUUGAUAGAUAAGUGAUAGAUAAUUGAUCAAAAAAAGAAGUGCAAUGUGAUCACCACCACGCCAUGCAAAUCUAUGAAUAGACUUUAUUGUAUAAAUUAAUCAUUUGCUAAAGUUAACACAUUUGUGGUAGAGCACACUAAGCUAUGGAAUAGUUGACUUAGACAUCUCAACUAUUUUAGCGUAAGACAAUUCUAUAUGAAUCAAAGACAUCUAGUUAGAGCAACAUCUAAAAAAGUUUGUAAAGCAUAUUAUGCGCACCAUGUGAGUCAUUGAAUAUUUAGUAUAAAAUAUAUACUUAUGGUGCUUAAAAUCAUAGAUUUUGUGAGUUGGUAGUAGAAUUUUUAGGAGAAAUAGAAAAUAGAUUGCUAAUAGCGGAUAUGCAGUUUAAAAUAGAAUUCAUUUAGCCAAAUUUCUAUGUUAGAGAUGUUUUUUGUAUCUAACAUUAGACGAUGGUUCAAUGGGAGUAGCAUUCAUUGUCAAAAAGAAAAAAGAAAAUUAUAUUUUAUUAAUAAUUCUUAAAAGUUAUAUAUAUAUAUAUAUAUAUAAUAAUAAUAAUAAUAAUAAAAAUAAAAAGAUCAAAACAGUAGAAAAAAAUAGAGAAUAGAAGAGAAGAAGAAGGAAAAGAAGAGGAAGAAAGCAAGAUAGAAGAAAAGAAAAAAGAAAAACAGAAAAAAAAAAUAUAUAUAUAUAUAUAUAGAAAGAAAUGAAAGGUGAUCGACGAAAAGGUGAGAGGCUGCCCCUGAAUGGCGGCAGCGUCUUCAGCGAUAGGGGUCCGGGCCGCCCCGGAUCCCCCUCUCUUCCGUUUUUGUUUUUUUUGUUUUUUUUUUAAUCUUGCCAAGUGCUCUGGGCCCGGGCGGCAACGGAAUCCCUCUUGGAAGUUUUUUUCUUUCUACGUCAAUGUGAGCAGUUGCAGUGGUGCUGAGAGAAAGACGUCGUCGUCCAUUCUGAUCGGCGGCUAGGUGUUGAGGACCGCAGCAUCUUCCGAAGCGGUGCAGCGAUUGUUUUUUUGUUCCCCAUUUUCGCUGUGGGCUGCGACCUCUUUCUCUCGAAUUUCCGGGCUGGCUGCGGGGGUUCUGGAAUCGGGGUGUCUGCGGCAAAGGCUGCGGUGGUAGCGCGGUUUUUUUUUGUUUUCCGUUUCUUCUUCUUGAUGGGAUCAAAGGUGGCAUUGCCCACUCGUCGACUCUUCUACGGCAAGAAGCAGGAGCUCCGACGGGGUUCUCCGUUCCACCGCGGUGCAGAGCUGUAUUGAAUCUAGUCGCAAGGGUUCAAGUUCUGUUUUGUUGCUAGCGGCUCGAUGAGCUGAGUUGCGGCUCUGCUGUGGUAGGGUGGAGUUACAGCGUCCUCGUUGCAGAUCUCGACAUCACUGGGGAAUCUCAUUUUAAUCCUCUCGUUUUCUUUGUCUCCUCUUGUUGUUGCCGGAAGCUCCGUGAUCUCCGGCUUGGUGUGGCUAGAAUUGCUAUGCCCAUUCUCUCUCUCUUUCUCGUGUUGUUGUUGUUGUUGUUGUUGUUGUUUUGUUUUUUUUUUUCCUUCUCUGGCUGAUUGGGCAGUUUUUAUUUUUCUUUCCUCUUUGAAAUUCGAUGUUACAGCUAGAGGCUCGAUGAGCUGAGAGUGUUGUGGCAUGGUGUAAAGGUCUGAAAAGUCAGACCGACCCUUACGUUGGCGAAGAUGAAGUGUGUGUGAAGUGUGUACCGAGAGCUAUCCAAUGCCUAAGGGUUGUUUGAGGCGAGGUGGCAAAGGAGAGGUUGGUAGGGCCACCUCCCUUGACCCUAGGUAACCUUCAUGCAGGGGCGUGAAGGGGGUCGUGGGACUUUUAAGUACCUUGGUCCUGGAUGCUCAAGUGGCACAUAAGAUCCUACCUUUUGUCACUUGAGUGUCGAAGGGAUUGAUUGGUAUUAAGAAGAGAGUGGAGAAAAGAGGGUCUCCUCACGUCCUAUUCUAGGACGUAGUUUUAAAUAAUGAUCUUGAGUUUUGGGGAGAUAUUUUAAAUUGGUGAUGUGUCACUUUAAGAAAGGAUGUUGUGUGGGUUGAUUGUGGUUGUCUUGUUUGAAAAGGUGGUUCAAUGUAGAAGAUGUAGUAGUUGUAGACACUAAUCCUAGUGAAGGCUCAAUGUGGUGUACCUUAAGGGAGCUUGGAAUUGAACGCUCUUUCUCUUCAGCUCAAGGUCAGAUGCAUUGGGUGGACUAAGAAGAGGGAGUGACAAUACUAGUAGGUUUUUGCGAUGAUGUUUGUGUUGUGAAUCUAAUGUUGUUAAGUAAGCAUUUAAGUCAGUGAAGGUUCUCAGUUGGAGUGAUAUUACAUGUGGUAUUAGAGCGUCUGAGACCAAAAUUGGCAAGAAGUAGGUAGAAGAAUUUUUGAUCAUACCAUGGUGAGUAAAGUCAGAGAAGAUGGGAAAGAAGACCAUGAAGACUUCGAUCCAGCGGAUGGAAGACAAAGAAGUUCUCAAUAGCAAUUUGCAAUCGAUGCAAGGAAGUCAAGAGUUUAGACCAAAAAGAAGAGUAGUCAAGAAGAAGUCCAUGUUUGAAGAAGAAACACCUAAUUCCUUAAAAGAAGAAAUUAAGAAAUUUAAGUGGAGUUGAAAGAGAUUGUAGAAGGACUUGCAAUUGAAAUAGAAUCUUCAAAUUUUCUUAGUGAAGAAGAGGAGAGUGAUCAAGAAGAGAGGAACCUCAAAUCAGGAACAAGAAGUUUCAAAAAGACUUCAUUAUUUGUUACCUCAAUGGAGUAGAUGUAGUGCUAGGAAAUAUGUUUUUGAGAUAAUAUGGAGUGGAGCUUCAAUAGAAAUCCGAAACGUGAGUAGUAAUGAUAAGAAUUGAAGGAAGGAUUAUAGACUUACCCUUCAGAAACCACCCAACAUUGUAUGAGUUGAAGAUCGCUAUUGUCACUCAAUGUGAGCUAAAAAGAGAAUAGUUUCUCAUGCACUUAAAAAGCGACAAUUUUGGCCUCGAAAUUAUAAAUGACAAAUUCAAUAAUAAAAUAGAGUGGAGAAGAACCACUCUUUGUUCUCUUAAACUUGUAGAAGAGUUAAUGUUGAAAUUUGGUGAUAUAUUGAUGACAAAAUUGCCAAAGGAAUUAUCACCUAAUAGAAUAAUAGACCACAAAAUUGAAUUAAUUCUUAGAUCACAAUCCCUAAGCAAUGCACCUUAUUGAUUGAACCAACUUGAGCUAAAAGAACUCAAGCAACAAUUGAAUGAGUUACUGGAAAAAGGCUAUAUCAGAGAAAAUAAAUCUCCAUUUGGAACCUCAAUCCUCUUCGUGAGUAAGAAGAAUAGAAAAAUGAAGAUGUAUAUUGAUUAUUAAGCCUUCAAUAAGAUCAUAGUGAAGAAUAAGUAUAAGUUGCCACAAGUUGAUGACUUGUUGGAUAGACUGAGGGAAAGUAAAUGGUUUAACAAGAUUGAUCUCUAGAGUAGAUACUACCAGUCAAGGAUUGCUCAAGAAGAUGUUGAGAAAACAACAUGUAGAACCAGAUAUGAUUCUUAUGAAUUUGUCGUAAUGCCUUUUGGAUUGUGUAAUGCUCUAACAACCUUUAUUACAUUAAUGAACUCCAUUUUUCAUAAAGAAAGUGAUGAAUUUGUGGUUGUAUAUAUUGAUAACAUUCUGGUGUUUUCUAAAAGAAAAGUACAUCACAAGAAGCACUUAUGAAUUGUGUUGAGUAAGUUGCAAGAAAACCAACUGUAUAUCAAUAAGGAGAAGAGCAUCUUUGACCUGGAGGAGUUGGAGUUUUUUAGGCACAUCAUCAAUAACAAAAGAAUAAAGUGAGAUUCAAAGAAAAUCCAAGUCAUCAAAACUUGGGAGAUAUUUAAGACUCAGAAGGGUAUAAGAUCUUUCUUGGAGUUGACAAAUUAUUAUCAAAAGUUCAUAAAGAACAUCUCAAAAAUUGUUGGACCUUUGAUGAGCCUCUUGAAGAAAGAUAACAAGUCCAUAAAAUAGAACUUGAGCUGUGAAAAGCCCCUCCAAGAGAUUAAUUUCCAUUUCAAUGUUGUGUUAUGCACAGUUUGAUAAAGAAUUUGAGAUUCACACAAACGUGAGUGACUUUGCUAUUAGUAGAAUCUUCAUGCAAGAAAAAAGAUCCGUGUUGUUUGAGAGUAAGAAAUUAAGCAGAAGCCAAUUGAGAUGACCAAUGCAUGAAAAAAGUCUGUUUGCGAUGGUGCAUUGCUUGAAGACUUGGAGGCACUACCUCGGUGGUAGAAAGACCAAGGUCUAUAUUGACAACAUCUCUCUUAAGUACUUUACUUCAAAGGCAUAGGCAUCUCCAUAGGAAUUGAGAUGAUAUGACAUGAUUGUUUCAAUUGACAUCAAAUUGAUUCACAAAUCAAAUGAUGAUAACUUGAUGUUAGAUGUGCUAAGUAGAAGAGAAGAGUUCAUGGGAGCAAAUCUCCAUGACACAAUGACGCUUAAUAUAAUUGUCUAUUGUGAUGGCUUUUUCCUCAUCAAAGACAUAAAAGAAGCCUAUAAAUCAUAUAAAGAUACAUUAGAAAUUAAGAAAGCGUUUGCUGCGACCAAAUCUACAAGUUAAUAGAAGAGACUUACAAGAGUUUCUUUGAUAAGGAAUGGACUUAUUUAGUUUAAGCAGAUGCAACUCUACAUUUCUAAGAGCAAGUAGAUAAGGAAGGUGAUGUUUGAAAUACAUGAUGCUCCAUGCUUGGGACAUAUGGGUGUGAAGGCCACAACAAAGGAUGUGGCACGAUCUUAUUAUUGACAUUCUUUAAAAAAAGACAUGGAGUAAUACAUAAGAAGCUGUUUGGUGUAUCAAAGAAAUAAACACUCAACGCAAGCUAAGGUAGGUCUCUUGGAACCAUUACCACUUUCGUCUUUAUUAUAUACAGAUAUAUCAAUGAAUUUCAUAAUAGGUUUAUCCAAGUAUGGUGAAUCCAAUACUAUUUUAAUCAUAGUUGAUAGUUCAACAAGACGACAAGGUUUACAACAAUAAUAAUAUUUUUAAAAGUUUCCAAAAAAGAGUUAGAAAUUGUAUUACAAUUGACGGUGGAUCUCUUCUUCAAUUCAUGGAUUUUGCUAUAUGGCAUGCCAACAUCAAUCGUAAGCGAUAGAUAUAUCCACUUUAUGAUACAAUUUUGGAAAUACGUUGUCGUGUUGUAACACGAGUAUACAGUGAAAAUAAAAAGAAAGGGGAAUUUUAUUAAUAUUCAGUUACCUCGAAUAUUGGGAGCAUCGACCAAUUCCAGUACAAAUACUGAGUGGUCAAGUUCAGUGACUCCGUUACAGUCAGCCGGGGCAUACUGGAAUGCCCCGUUCGAUUCCAAUAACGGAAGUCAGUAGGAAGAGAAGGACCAAUUCACACGACGGAUUCGAGGAGCCAAUUGGAUCCAAUUUCGAGAAUCCAAUCUGGGUCCUCUUACCCAAUAUGAGACCUGUAUUGGUGGGGCAACCCAAUGCAGUCUAGUUACGGGAAAUCCAAGUCUUACUACGGGUCUUAGCCAAUCUGACGCGAAGACCAAUUUGACCCAAUUACGGAAACAUCCAGGUUACUACGGGCAUCUUUCCCAAUAUAGGACCUGAAUUGGUCGGGCGACUCAAUGUGGUCCCGAUUACGGGGUUCGAUUCUGUUUCAAGCUGUCCUGUUCUCUGUGCCGUCUCAGGGAACGUUGUUUUCGGUAAAUGGAUUUCUUAAAGGUAAAAACGGAGGAGAAAGCUUGAGGUGGGAGCCAAUUCCGGAUCUAAGACGGAAGAUUGAAGAAAUUCAGAGGAUAAGGUUAGGGGGGAUAUAGUUUUGGAGUGGUGUGGGUUUUUAUGGGGGGAUGGGAGGUUUUUUGAGAUCAAGGGAAUUAGAGAGAGGAGCUUCAUGCUUCGGGUCGGGGAAGGAAAGACAUAGAAUUUGGAUUUUUCUUCUUCGUAGAGUUUUGGGAAGACUGAGGCAAUCGCUGCUGAAGUCAGUGUUGUAAUGGUGAAUCGGGAUUUUUAAAUGAAGUGGGUUUGAAUACUCUUGACUGUUUUGUGAAAUCGAGUUACGUCUGUGAUUGAAGGAUUAAAAGGGUGUCUAUAGGAUUGAGUAUGCGGAGUGAAUGAAAUUUACUGGGUUAAUCUAACAAGACAGUCAGUGGAUACGAGAUCGUAAGUACAAAGCAGUAUUGAAGGUUAACAGUUUGGGUUGUACGGGGUUCUCUGUAACGUCAAGAGACCUACCGACUGGGGCAAAAAGGACUUCGACAAGCAGUCGAAGAGCACCCGUAUAGAUUUACGGUACAUUGUUGCAGUCGUUUAUAUUCCAGCAGUCAAAAACUGAUAGACUGCUUGACUAUCGGCGAAUCUUCAUACUACCUUCUACAGCCAGACGCCCGGCGCGUUCUCGAGCAGGAAAGCACGUAAUACGACAUAAGUGGUGAAUCCGACGUGAAAGCUUGAGGUAGAAGGUAUUGGAUUCCACAAGGAGAUGGCCAAAUAGAGAGGAUCAAUGGAAUUUGUUCAAUGUACCUAAGACAUUUUGUGGCAAGCGAUUAUAAGAAUUGGAUCAAGUAGCUACUUAUAGCCAAGUUUAAUUAUAAUAUUAGCCAAAAUGAAUUUUUAGAUAAUUGUCACGGCCAUAAUCAUGUAAGCUAAUAAUUACAUAUAGAAAUAAGUAGAAGUAAGUAAAAGUAGAUAAAAGUAAGUUAAUUCUAUAAUAUUUAAUAUAGAAGCUUCCUAAAAACUUCUUAGACACUGCUUUGACUUCAUAGGUGUCUUUAAUUGACUUUUUGGAUUAGAAACGUGGUCAACAAGUUGGCCAUGUGCCACACAUGUUGUUAGCUUGAAGAUCAAGCUAACUAUGUAGCCCACACGUAGAAAAACUUGCCUUGUAAGUCAAGGCAUGUGCCCUACAAAGUCAAUACAUAUUAGAGGUCCUAUAGAACAUUGCCACGUAGCCCCUAGUUAGAUAGUAUAUAUAGAGACAAGAGUGAAGGCUUCUUCACUCUUGUCAACUCCUUUCUUGCUUCUAGUCUAGUUUCAAGGGUCUCUAGUUUUCUUGUCUUUUGGCAAUAGCCAUUCCAGUUUCUCUUUCAAUAUAUAUACUUAUUUAUUUAUAUUUUGUUACCUCUCUUUGAGUGAAGGCUCACUUGUCUGAAUUAUUUUUCAUCGAGUUCUUGUCCUUGACAGUAAUACACCAUUCCAAAUGGCUCAUGAUUUUGAUGUGCUUAGGUCAAUUGAUUUGAUUAAAGUCAGACAAAGUGACAAGCUUACUUUAAAUGAAGUAGAUGGCGUAAAGGAAAGCCAUUACAAGUACCAUGAGAGUGAGACUAGAGGCAGCCCAAAGUUGAUAUAAGAAGUAAGUUGAUAAACAUAAGAGAGAUGUGCAAUACAAAAAGGAAGAUAAAGUGUGGUUGAAUAUGAAUAACUUUACUUGCCCUAUACACCUCACUCCCAAGUAGACUCAAAAAUAGGCAAGGCUCUAUGUAAUUGAGUGAAUAUUGUACAAAAAUAUCUAUAUGCUAGACGUUCCAAAAAGAUUGAAGUGGCAUCUAGUUUUUUAUGUAAGUAUUUUUAAAAGGUUUGUAGAUGAUGAAAAAAGAUUUUACAAAGAAAAGGCGCAAGUUCCACCUUAGGAGGAGGUAUGAGAUGAAACCAUGGGUCAAGUAUUAGCCAUACUUGAUAAGAAAUGAAAUAAUGUCAAGGGAGUGCAAUAUUUAUGCACCAUUAAAGGUUACCCACCAUACAAAUUUCAAAGGAUUAAUGAACAUAAUCUGAGACAUGUGUAGUGCUUAGUAACCACUUUCAAUAAGAGAGUAGGUGAGUAUAGAAAAGGGAGAUCCAUGCAAAAGUAGUUGAAGAACUAAAGACUUCAAUUAACAAUAAGAAGUGUUCUACAGCAAACUUGAAGAUGAUGAUAUCUUUGCUCCAAAUGGGAGGAAGAGGGUCACAUAAGAAAUCCUACAUAAUACAAAAAAAGGGGAUUGUAAAAAGAAGCUAUAGAAAAUUUGAGCAUCUAUUGUAUUGGGCAAAGUAAUGGAGUGGAGAGGCUUCAAAGCUUGGAAUAGAUCUAAUGGCAAUAGCGUCGCAAAUGGAGAUAUAAGUUUUUCAAAAGUAUGAGGAGCAUUGAAAAGAUUUCAGCCCAAGGUGACUCCAUAGAAGGCAACCUUAAAGCGUUUGUAUUAGGCGGAUAUAAGACCUUGAGCGACCAGGCCUAAACGAUCAUCUUUUCUUAAUGGAUUUCUCGUUGAGUGAUCGCAAAUCACCUCCAUAAGUUAGAGAAGAGUAGUGAAGCAAGAUAGAUCUCAAUUAAGAGAUUUAGCUGCUGAGAUAAGUCUCAUGGCAGCACAAGCUGUUAUAACUUGCAAUCAAAGAUGUGGGUUUUCAAAGUUGCUUAUUAAAGAUAACUAGUGAAAAGUUGGAGGCAAAAUAUACAAGAACGUAAGAAGGAGGUAGUGUCCCAUGUCAUUAUUUAUAUUGUGAUUAUUCCAAGGUUUCAAGGAUGAAACAAGGGCUAAGUAAGAAAGAGAGUCCUUAUGCUGUCUGAGAUGAAGAGUGCCAAUUGUGCUAAGUACACUCAAAGAGUAUACAAGAACAAGUUCCACUCUUUAAAGAAAGAUGCCUUCGAGAAGGUAGCGACUAUAUCAAUGAAGAUAUUGACCUCCUUAUAGUGAAGGAGAGUAUAAGGAUCUGAAAAGUCAGAUCAUUGUAUUGGCGAAGACAAAGUGUGAACCAAGAACUAUCCAAUAUCCAAAGAUUGCUCGAGGUGAGGUGACAAAGGAGACGUUGAGAGGGCCACCUCCCUCAAACCAAGGGAACCUUCAUGUGGGGGUAUGAAGGAAAUCGUAGAACCUUUAAGUACCUUAGAACUUGGGUACCCAAGUGGCACACUAGACUCUAUCUUAGGUCACUUGAGUGUCGAAGUGACUGGUUAGUCUUAGGAAGAGGGGAGGAUCUCCUCAAGCCACCUUAGGACGUAGCUCCAGAUGAUGAUCCCAAGUUUAGGGGAGAUGUUCUAUGCUGGCGGCACGUCGCUUCAAGGGAGGACGUGACAUGGGCUGAUUGAGGUCGUCUUGUCUGAGAAGGUGGCUCGAUGCAGAAGAUGUCGUAGUGGCUGCAGAUACUGAUCCUAGUGAGGGCUCAGUGUGUCGCUUAAUAAGGGAGCUUGGAGCUGAAUACUCAUUCUCUUUAGCUGAGGACCAGAUGGACUGGGUGGAUUGCGGAGAAAGAGCGAAAGUGUUAGUAGGUUUCAGCAAUGCUGUUUGUGUUGUGAAUCUAACGUUGUUUGGUGGAGCAUUCAGGUGAGUGAAGAUUCAAUGACCCUUGGAAUUGCAGGCUGCCAUGUUAGCUUUCUCUUUUUUUUUUUUUUUUUUUUUUUUUCCUUAAUUGCUUUGGCCAGUCGAUGUGAGGUGGCGGAAAUUGGUUGUCAUUAUUGUUGUUGCUAAUUUGCAUGUUAGCAGUAGCGAUGUUCGUGUCAUUAAGAUCCUUCCUUGACUUGGUUGGUGUUGCUGGAGCGAUGCUCGUGACACUGUCUGGGCUACGCUGCAUCAAAUGGAUUGCAGGUACUGCGGUGUCUUCUGCAGAAUUUCCUUGUUUGUCCACAACAGAGAUUUUCGUACUAGUUUGGUGUUUUGAAGGUGUGUUCUAGCAGCGCAAUCGGCAAAUUAUAGUUCAUCUUUAGCAUCAACGUGCUGCUGCUACAAUUGUUGACAAUUUCAACGAGUAAAGAGUGUAUUCUUUGGCUAGUGGUUAAGAGGCGAAAGAAUCGUCGAGAUGCAGCGGAUUAUUAAUGAGCUGGAUAUGCUACUUUUCCACUGAGAUCUUCCUUUAUUGCUUGUGGUAUUGGGUCAUCAAAGCACUGGAGUCGACAGAGUGGCAUUACGAUGUUGGGGUGCAGCGUUGACGCUGAUAAUGUAGACUAGUAUUGCGGCCUUGCGGUAGUACGGCAGUUCCUCUUCCUGUUCUUGUGGGCUAUAGUAGGAAUUAGCAGUUUUGACUUUAUUUUUUGCGCAUAUGAAUGGUUGAAAAGCGUUGUGGUGUAGAGCUAUUAGCGGUGUCGUCAAUGAUCUAGGCUGAGUUUACUUGGAACAAUUUCGGCUGCUGCGAUUAUAUUUUAUUGCACCUAGGCAAUCAAACAAGGGUGGCUGAGCGCAGCAGACUAGAGGAAGUCGACUCAUAGCAAGUUGACCAGCGCAAUAUCCUCUAGCUCAAUGAGUACUCGAGGACGAUCGAUACUGAUUAAGGUAGAUUUGGUUGCAAGUAGUUAAGGUUAUAGAGCAACAACUUGGAUGAAUGUUUAAAUCAAGGAUGAUUUUUAAAACAUGGAUGAAUCUUAAUUGUGGAUGAUGAGUUAUUUAUGAAUGAAAAGUUAGUCAAGGAUGAAUUUUCAUUCAUAGAUGAUUUUUAUUAAUGCAUGAACUUUGAUUAAAAUUAAAUAAAAUAAUGAUAAUAAUAGCAUAAUAGUAUAUAAUAAUAAUAAUAAUAAAGAUAAAAAUAAAAUUAAAAAAAAGAUAAAAAGUAAAUUAGAGAAAGGAAAAUUUUAUGGUAUUAAAUUGUUGAAUGAUUUAUUAUUGUGAAUGUGAAAUAAUUGUAGAGUUUUGGCUUGAUUGCUUGGAUUAUUUAAGAAGAAAUAAGAGUGAAUUGAAUAGAAUUUAAUUAAUAAUUAUAACUACCAAAAUUCACAUAUUAAUUCACUUAUUAUGAAUUAGAAUGAACUUCUAAUUAAUAGAGGUUUAUUUUAGCUCAUAGGCUAUUAAUAUAGAAGGAAUUUUCUACAACAAAGUUUCAUCAAGCUAAAUAAGGUGCUACAACUUAUGCAUGCAAAUUUGAUAGAACUAAUCACAAAGCCAUUCCUAAGCAAAAAUAAAUACUUUGUAGUAAUCGCUAAUAAAUACUUUGCAUUAAUCACUAAUAAUUAAUUUUGCUAAAGCUGGCUUUAUUUUUUAAAGUCAAAAGAAGAAAUGUUCUCUAAUUUUUGCACAUUCAAAGCUAUAAUAAAAAGAGAAACAUGCAAAGAAACUACUCAUUCUGAAGACUAACAAGAGUAUUUAGUUCAUAUCAAAAGAAUUUAAAGAAUAUUAUUAGAAACAUGGAAUUAUACAAUAAUUAGUGUAAAUUCUAAUUCCUUAACAAAAACAUAACUGCUAAAAGGCAUAACAAGUCAAUUGUGAAUAAGGCAAGAAAAAUAUUCUAUGAAAGCAAAUUAUUCCUAUAUCUAUGGUCAAAAGUAAUCAAUACUAUAAAUUAUUUGAUAAAUUGAUAUCCAAUCAAUUCUAUUUAUAGAAAAUAUUAAUAAAAAUAUAUAUUAAGAAGAAAUUAAAAAUAAAGUAUCUAAAGAUCUUGAGGUGUGAUACUUAAAGAUGUGCCAAAAGAAAAACAAAAAAAACUUAAUACUAAGACAAUAAAAUGUAUCUUUAUUGGAUAUGCCUCUAAUAGCAAAGCAUAUUAGAUCUAUGAGCAUACAAAGCAAAAGAUACUUAUUAAUAGAAAUAUCAUUUUUUAUAAGUCCAAAAAUGCCAUCAUCAUCUUAAAGAUAGUCAUAAUUAUGAGAAUUUUGAAGAUGUAUGUUUUACUCUAAAAAAAGUUUUAGAAAAAAAUAUACUAUCAAUUCACAAUUGUGAUGGGCAUGAAAAAAAUUGAAGAUUAGCACAUUGAGCCUAAGGAUAUAUAUUUUUUUAUUUUGAUUUCCAAUUAAAGGAAUAAAGCUUCUUUCUUUUGUUGUAUAUUGGCUAAACACACCUAUCAUGUAGUCUCCAAAAACAUCAUUACAUAGAGUCUUUGAUUUACCAAUUCAAGUAUAUCGACUCUUCCUACAAAGAAAAAAUGGAUAAGUAUAAACAACCAUUAAGAAGGCUUCCUAACAAUUAGUUACUUUGUGUAUAUGCAAAAAUAGACCCUAUUGACUACUUUGAAGAUACAAAAGAUAAAUAGAGGAGGGAUGCUAUUAGCUAAGAAAUUCAAAGCAUUAAGAAAAGUCAUACAUAAGAGGUUUGUGAUUUACUUGCUAAAAGAAGGUCCAUCAUUGCUUAAUGGAUCUUCAAGAAGAAGAUUGGAUUAUCAUGUAGAAUCAAAAAAUAUUAGGCUUGACUAAUAGCAUAAAAAUUAAAGCAAUUAAAAGAUGAAGAUUUCUUUGAAACUUUUGCUUUCGUCAUUUGUUGAAAUAUAAUAAGAAUAAUAAUAAAAUUAGUAAUUAUUCAAGAAUGAAAGAUAAUACGAUAUGAUGUUAAAAUAAAAUUUUAAAAAUAAUUCUUAAAUAAUAUAAAUAGAUUCAAACUAAAGCAAAGAAAUAAAAUCAUAGUUCAAUCUCAAAGUUGAGAGAUGAUCUACUUAACCUUUUAAAACAACAACAAUAGUCACAAGAAACUUAAGCCUCAAUAUUAUGAAAAAAAAAAAGUAUAAAUAAAAAAUGAAAAGUCUUCUUAACUCAAGUAAAAGUAAAAAGCCUUCUUGGACAAGAAAGAGUAUUGGAAAAAUAUGCCUAAGAUUUUCAACCAAAUACCAUAUUGUAGGAUUUAUUGAUAUCUACUAGCUUUAAAUAUCAAUUAUAUAAUAAUAUCACUAAAAUUAGAAGGUUAUUUAUUUUUAAAUUUAAUUAUAUAUAUUUUUAAUUAAAUAUUGUAUCACUUAAAUUUAUAUAAGAUCAGUGUGUCAUUCUAAUAAUUAUUAUUACAAGACCUAAAGGAUCAAAUAAUACUUCUAAUUUUUUUAAUAGUAUUUAAAUUAUUUAUUUUUAGACUACAAUAAUAAUCUUAAAUUAAUCAAUUAAUGACAUUAUAAUUGUAACUAAUAAGAAGUUGAUUUUGGUGAAUUUAGUUCAAUACUCUUUUUUGCAGUAGAAUUCAUUUGCUUUAUUUUUGAGAAUAAGUAGUGAUUAUAAUAGAUCAAUGGCAAUAACAUAUUAAAGAGAUGUAUGUUAUAAGAAAUCAUUCAUCAUAAUUCUUUAGAUUUUGUUGUGUUUCUUGAUAAUGUCAUGCUAAUGUUGUUGUAAUAAAAAAAUAUUCUUACUAGAUUUGUGAUUGAUUAUGGUAGCACUACAUAUAAUAUGUACAAUUUAAUAGAAGAUCUCUUUGAAUCUUUGGUAAAGAAUAGAGUUUUGAAAUAAACUCACUUUGAAAUAAUACAAUAUUAAAGAAUAUUUCAUCUGGAUAGAAUUGUUUCUAUUAGGAUAGGAUUUGAGAAAUUUUAUACAAUUUGAGUAGGAAUUUAACCAAGAAUAUAUGAAAUGUGGAGUGAGUGCAAAAUACAAGUAAAUAGAUUUAAAAGAAAUAAAUUUAAAACUUAUAAAGAACAAGAGUCUAUAGUAAGGUAUUUAAGAUAAUAGAUGUAGAUUAUAAUCUUUUAUCAAGGACAUGAAUCUCAGAGAAUUAAAAGAUCAAUACACUCUUAUGUCAAUCAAAAAGACUAGAAAAUUACUCAAAGAUAGUAAUAUAUUGAACUAAAAUGGCUAUUGCCAAAGACAAGAAUAGAAAAUCUUGAAAUAAGACUAAGAUCUAGAAAGGUGUUGACAAGAGUGAAGAAGGCUUUAGUAUUCUUUUCAUAUAUACUAUCUAACUAAAAAUUAUGUAGUGAUAUUCUAUAGAACCUUGAACACAUGUCUAAAUUGUAAUACACAUAUCUUAACUUACAAGGUAAAUUUUUUAUAUGUGCACUACAUAAUUAGCUUGUUUCACAAGAUAUCAACAUGUGUAAUACAUGACUAACUUGUUGAUCAAGUUUCUAACCUACAAACAUGUAUAAAGCCAAAGCUACAUCAAUGAAGUUUCUAGAAAGUUUUUCUAGAAGAUAUUAUAAAAAUAAUCUACUUUUACCUAUUUCUAUGUAAUCAUAUAGAUAAUUAUAGGAGUAAAUAUGUAUAUCUAUAACAUCUAUGUAGAAUUUCGUAUUAGAAGUAUGCAUAUUUUUUCACACAUAUUAUAGUAUGCAAAGGUUUUAGUGGUUUGGCCAAAAUAUCGGCUUCUUGUUCAAAUAUGGGUAUAUACUUGACUAUCAUGUCUCAUGCUAAAUUUUUUAUUAUAAUAAAAUUAAAUUAUACUUUUAUAUGUUUGGUUUGAGAAUACAAUAUUGAAAUAUUUACUAGCUUGAUAUAAUUUUUAUUGUCGCUAAGAUUGAGAAAUAGAUCAGUAUGAUAAAUUUUUAAUUCUUAUAGCAUUUGCCUUAAGUAUAUGGUGUCUUUUGCAAAUUCUAAAAACACUUGAUAUUUGGCUUUGUAUAGUGCUUAAUGCAAUUGUUGUUUGUUUUUUUUGGCCUAUUUAAUUGAAUCUUAUCAAUCUUGAGUAUCAAACUAAAAAUUAAUUGUCUACUGUCUAGAUUUCUUCCAUAAUUGGUAUCUAUAUAGUUCAUUAGGAUGAGUUUGUUUGAAUGCAAAAAAAAUAUGCCAACAUUGGCAGUAUCUUUGAUAUAGUAUAAAAUUCAUUUAAUAGCUAUCAUAUGUCCUUGUGGAUUUUGUGUGUAUCUCUUCAAGGUCCUAAUUGCAAUACUAAUAUUAAAUAUUGAUAUUAUAGAAGCAUAUAGAAAUCUACCUACUAGUGACUAAUAAGUUAACUUAUCAACAGGUGAUUAUUAUAUAUUAGCUUGAAGAUAAUUAUUAGAAUAUAUAAAAAUUUGUGUUAAAUUAUAAUUUAUCAUAUUGAAUUUAUGUAAUAAUUUGCUAAUAUAGAUUUCUUGAUGUAAUCAUAUAUGAGAUAAGUCUUAUUUUAAUUUUUCUUCAACAUAAAUAAUGGCUUUUUUUAGCUUAGUCAUUUCAAAUAUUUACAAUAAUUAAAAAGUUAAACUUUAUAUUUUUAUUAAAUUAUUAUCCAUAUUGAUUAGAUUAUCUAUAUAAAAGAAUAUAAUUAUAUAUUAUCUAUUAUUGAUAGAAUAGUAAAAAUUAUAAUUUGUAAAAUUCUUAGUUUGUUUUUUUUUUUUUUUUUUUUUUUUUUUAUGAAAUAGGAGUCUAUUUGCAAUUAUCAUGCCAGUAGCACUUAUUUGAAUCCAUACAUGUCUCUAAUCAACCUACAUACUUUUUCUUCUUAUAUUGAGGUUUAGAAAUUAAAUGAUAUAUGCAUAUAUAUCUCUUUAUUUAGUAUUCUAUUCAAAAAUAUAGUCUUUACUUUUAAUUAUUGUAUGCUCUAAUUCUUUUGAAUUAUAAGUGUUAGAAUUAAUCUAAUAGUAUUCUAUCUAAUUUCAUUCUAAUAUGGCAUAUAUGUCAAAAUAAUUAAUGUCUUGAAUUUAUUCAAAUUUCUUUGCAAUUAGUCUUUUCUUUAGUUUAUGUAAUUUGCUAUUAAUUCUUUUUUUAACUUUAAAUAUCCACUUUGAUAUAAUAGCUUACUUUUCUUUUAAUAAGUCUACAAUCUUCUAAGUUCUAUUCUUUGUAAUUGAGUCAACUUUAUCUUAUAUAAUUUUUUUCUAUUCCUUGUAUCUAAUAGCUUGUUCAUAGUAUGGAGGUUCAAGUGUAUAUUCUAUUGUAUAUGUCACAUGAUUCUUAAGCUUAAUACUUAAUCUUCUAUUUCUAAUAGGAUAUACAUGAUGUAUGGAUCCAUGUUCAUAUUUUACAUUACAUUUUAUUUCACCAUUUAAGGUAGAAGGUAAUUUAGCUGGUUCUAAUAUAAUUCUUGAAUGCAAAUAUGUUAAGUUGUGUAGAUUAAUAAUGGUCAAGAUUAUUUAUAUUAUUCUCAUUGAUUUCUAUAAUAAAAAAAAUUUUACUUUUUUUUAUGUUGAUUUUUGCAAGAUGUUAAAAAUCCAUUUUGGAUUUAUCACAUACUACAUUUUUGGAUUUUACAAUCUUACAAGUUAAAGGAUUAAAUAUUCUAUAUGAUUUUUUUUAUUAAUUAAAAUCCAUAAAUAUGUAUUUUUUUAUCUUGCUUUUUAAUUUAUCUCUUUACAUCUUUCAUACAUAAGUGAAAGCAAUGCAUUCAAAAAAAAUUAGAAAAUUUAUGUCAAGUUUGAAUUUGUAAUACCUCUCAUAAAGAGUAGCUCUAAGGUUUGCAAUUGUAGGACUUUUGUUUACUUAAAAAUUGGUUGUAUUAAUUGUUUUGUACCAUAGAUGAUUAGAUGAUUUGAAAGAUUGUAGUCAAUAAGCAUAUAUCUCGUUCUUUCAAAGAUUAUUCUAUUAUAACACUCAACAAUAUCAUUUUGCUCUAAGAUGUGAGGCUAAGUCAAUUGUUACUUAAUUCCAUUUAAUUUGUAAUAAAUUUAAAAAUAACACAUCAUAAACUAUUUUCAACAAUUUGUAUAUAAGCUUUCAACUUUAUGUCUAAUUUUUGUUUCUACAAACUUCUUUAAAAGUUUAAAUUUGUAUAACAUUUUUGAUUUGCAUACACAAAGAAUGUUCAUGAUUUCUUCAAGAAAUUAUCAAUGAAUAUUACACAAUAUUGAAAGCCAUAGAGUAAAAGGGAUGUCAUUAAAUCAAUCAAAUCAGUAUAUAAUAAUAAUAAAAAAAAAUUAUAGUUUUGGUAACUAAUCUUUUGAAAAAGUACUUAUGAUGUUUUUUUCUAACUAAUUAAUAUUUUUAUCAAAACAAGACCACUCUAUCUUGAGAGUCUAAGAUUCUUUUAAUCUAUAGAAAUAUAAAACCUUAUGUCAAAGUAAGAUAAAAUAGACUAGAACAAAAUCAAAGAGAACUAAACAGAAUAAGAUACGAAAGGCAAAAUUGAAUAAAUGAAAAUAAAACAUAAUAGAAUCGAACAAGAAGAUGCAAAAUCAAACUUUAUUAAGACAGAAGGUCUAAAGCCAUACCUGACCAACUGCCGAAAAGGCCCUGGCUAGUCCUAUUUAUACCUUGUUCUACCACCUUAGACUUUUUAGAAUGUUCUUAGAUGAUGGACCUCACAUAGAUAACCGCCUUAAAUUCUUUCUAAAAGAUUCCAUAGUGGGCUCUAUUUAGAUAACCAUCCUAAACUUUUUUAGAAUGUUCUAUGAUAGAUUCUACAUAGUUCACUAAUCUAACCCCAAUUUUAAAAACUUCCAUAACUUCUCAAACAUGGUUUCAACUAUCUAUCCCUAUGUGUCAACAAUACAAAUAUCUUAUCUAUACCAUGUUAUAGUUAAUUCUCCUCCAUCAAUGUAAAACAUCUUGUUUUACUCUCAAUAGUAUCUUCAAAUUGUUUCUUGGCAAUGGAUGAGAUUCUAAGCAGAUUUCUAUGUUGCAUUGUAGAUGGAAUAAUCUUUCUAAAGAAUUUUGUACUGUAGUUGUGGAUGUCCACUACUAUAGCAAAGGUAGCAAUGCUCCAAAAUGUUGUCUAUUUCAUACUCUUAUUGGUCAUCAACUACAACUAGUAGUGGUGGUGGUUGAUAUUGAUCCAAAAAGUGCUUUGGCUUGGUAUGAAAUUCCUUGAUUUAGAAAAUAUAGAAGACAUGAUGGAUCCAAAUAUGUGACGGAACCUCAAGACAAUAUACAAUAUUAAAAAUUACUAUAGAAAUACAAAAAGAUCGAAGCCAUCGAGGUGCCAGUUUAUGGAUUUGAAUUGAUGUAGUAAGUGGCAAGUUGGUGUUGAAAAAUAAUACUUGAUCAUCCUUUCAAAAGGUCUUGUAUUGCUAGUGGAGAUCCGCAUAUUGCUUCUAUCAAUCUUGUAUGGUAAAGAAGCAGUAUCAUGCUUCCUAUAAGGCUGUUGUAAGCUAUUAUAUAAAUUCUUUUGUUGUUGGAUUAUUGAUAUUUUUGGAAUAAUGGAGAGUUAUUGGCAUAAUUGGAUGUUGAUCAAUUUUAAGAAAAAAAUGGUGAAUGAUUGGUACUUACUUGAAUACUAUCAUUAUAAGCAAACUGUAAAGACAUCAAAUAUUUAUUCCAGUCAUUAUAAUAAACUAUUACAAAUCCUUCAGCAUAUCUUCCAAGAUCUGAUUUACAUGUUCUAUUUUUUUAUUUAUUUGGAGAUAGAAGGUCGUAGACAUGACAAGUUGUAUGCCUAGUAGCUUGAACAAAGCUUGCCAAAAACUUUUCAUAAAGCAUAGAUCCGAAUCUAAAAUGAUGACACGAGAUAAUCCAUAGUGACGAAACAUAACAUCAAAGAAGAUCCAUAUAAGUACUAACGCAUCAAGAUCUGAGUGCACCGCAACCAAGUGAAGUUGCUUUAAGAUUUGGUCGACAAAGACGGCAAUUGUAAUAUAAUAAUGAGGCAUUUGCAAUAAAUACGUAAUGAGAUUCAUAGUCACUUACUCCCAACAUGUCGUUGAUAGUAGAAUUGGUUGCAAUAGUCUAGAAGACACUACAUUGCAUGAUUUAUUAUGUUGACAUGAGUUGUAGGAGUGCACAAAAGUUUGAUCAUCAUAAUCCAAACUUGCCCAAAAUCAUGUUAUUGAAAUUUUUUCUAGAGUCUUCUCUUGCCCUAGAUGUCCAAAUCUUGGGAUGUCAUGUCCCUUUGGAAGUAUACACAUCCAGAGUAUAGCAAUAUUAGGUACAUAUAUCUGCUUUUUGAAAUAGAACAAGCCAUUACUAAGACUAUAACUUGAUAUUAUAUAUCAUCCACCUUUAGUCAAUUGCUAACUAUCUUGAAAUAAGCAUUCCAAUACAUAGCUUUCUUCCAUUCUAUCUCUUCGGUUAGAUUUGAAAUGACACUAUUAAUGGCAAUGACUUUUAUCUUAUCUUUCGAUUUGUCCUUCAAGUUUGGUCUCCACUAUAAGUUAUUUGGCACAAUAUCUUAUUGUCCUUACUUGUACACAAGCUGGAUAUUAAAAAUCUACAAUUAUUCUUUCCAACAAUGAUGUCAUGAUUUUAUAUUUUUUAGAUGCAAAUCGUAUAGGAAGGGCCGAUGGUCAGUUUGAACAACCAUUGGCUAUCCUAACAGAUAGUAUUGCCACACUUUUGUGGUAUAUAUAAUUACUAAUUAUUGUCAAUGACAUGCAAAGUAAUUAUGCCUUGCCCUUCUGAGCUUGCAUAAUUCAUACGCCACAUGUUAAAGGCUCCUACUAAAGUUUUGUUGAAGAACCACUCUAAUAGCAAAGUUGGAAGCAUCAAUGUUAAGUAUACAUAGAAGGUUGGAAUCAUAUGGUUGUAAUAUUGAAGUAGUAAUAGUGCUUCCUUCAACCUAUCAAAGGCGCUUUACUACUCUAGUUUUCAUUCAAAUGAGGCAUCCUUUUCUAAUAGGUUUAUUAAUGAAAUAGCAAUAUGAGCGAAUUGCCAAACAAAACAACAAUAAUAUCUAGUAAGACAUAAAAAUGAAUAGACUUCAGAAGCAUCCUUGGAGGUUGGUCAAUCUUUUACUGCUUUCAUCUUAUCUUGCUCCAUAUGUAUACCUUCGGAAGACACCACAUGCCCCAAAAAUGUGACUUUUGACUUCCAAAGUUCUUAUUUUGAUUGAUUGCAAUAGAAGUAACUAUCUUAUAGUUGACACAACAUUUUUUGUAGAUGUUGCUUGUGCUUCUCAAGGAUUUUAUUAUAAAUGAAAAAAUAUCAUCAAUAAAAAUGACUACAUAUUUUUUUAAAAGGUCCCAAAAUAAUCUCUAUAUGUGAAUUAUGAAAGAGAUUGGAGUAUUGGUGAGGCCAAAAGAUAAAACAAGUCAUUUGAAAUGUUCAUAGCACUUACAAAAUACUAUCUUUUCUAUAUUAUCUUUUGCAAUAGGUACUUGUCAAUAGCCACUUUGAAGUUCUAAUUUUCUAAAAGUAAUUAUACGUCAAAGUUGAUUAAGAAGUUCAUCAAUAUAUAAAAGUGGAUAUGCAUUCUUAACAGUCUGCUUAUUAAGGCCUCAAUAGUUGAUGCAAAGCCAAAGUCCACCAUCCUUUUUAGAUACAAAGAAUAUAGGUGUUUUUCAUAAUGAUGUACUUUCUUGAAUGAAGCCCUUCUCCAAGAGUUUGUCCAAUGUCUUUUACAAUUUUUCAAGUUUAUUUGGUGCUAGGGAAUAAAUUGAUCAACUUACUUAUUUGGUUCCAACCAAUAGUUCUAUUUGAAAAUGGGUACUUCAAUCUAGAGGCACACUACUAGAUAGGUCAAUUGGAAAGACAUUCUAAUAUUCUCGUAUGAGUUGUUCUCCUUAUUCUGCUCCUUUGACUAUCUUUCCUACUACUAAUAGAAGAUUUGGAACCACCAUAUGUAUCAAAUGCUUAUGUUGUAUUUGCUUCUUGAUAAAGAUCAUUCCUAUAAGUAAAUCUUUAGUGAUAGAUUAUUUUUUCUCUUCACUCAAUGCAAAGGUACAAAAAGUCACCUUGGAUCUACUAUCUUUGAACAAGAUUAUCAUUCCUACUCAAUCAACUUAAUUAUUUUCUACCUUUAGCCAUGGCAUACCAAGGAUAACAUCAUAUCUUAGCUUUAUAAUCUUGAACAUCUCUAUGAAGACAUAGGUGUCAAAUAACUUGAAGGUUUCUUCUUUAUAUGGCUCAUUCAAUAUAUUCUCUUAGUUAUCUACAAGGUAUAUACUCCUUCUCUUCAUUGUCUUAGUUUAAUUCCAAAUUGAUUAAAAAUUUUAAUUAAGAUUUAAUUUUUUAGAGCCAUAAUCUACAAGCACUCAAUAUGGUUGUCCUCUUAGUAGUUCCAUUAAAUGCACUAGUUGACUCUUUUUAUUGUUGUCCAAGGCCAUGCCUUUUUUUUUUUAGAGACAAUAGCUACCUCUAGUAUUGGCUCUUGGUGCCUUUACUAUGGAGCUUUAUUUCCCUGUUUUAUCUUAUUAUCGACUUGGUGAGUCUCAAGACUGUGAACCUGCCUUAUUUUAUUGGUGCUUGAAUUUUAAUGUUUUGAAUAACCUCUUAUCUAAUAGUCUAGCUCUUGACAAUAGAAAUACAUUCUCUUUUGUACCAAUAUUUUUCGUCUUUGUGGUGUCAAUGAUCUUUAUAGGACAUCAAUCUCCAUUAGUCUUGGUUGUUGUACCAUAAUAUUAGAUGGCAGCAUAAGACUUUAUACUAUAAAUCUUGCUCAAUAAUUUUUAAAUUCUGUAGCAUCAACAUUAUUUGCAAUCCCAAUUGCCUCUUUAAAUAUUUGUGAAUCUAUUAGCUCUACCUCUCACUGAAUCUUAGGUUUCAAACCUCGUAGAAAUCAAUCCAAUAUCUCUACCUUUGAAAUAUUGCCAAUUUGGAGACAUAGAGACUUAAAUCAGGAUAUAUAAUCUUGUACCGACUUAAAUUAUGUAAGAUUUUUUAAAUGAUUGUAUGUUAUAUUUUUUUGUUUUGAUGGGCCAAAAUUAAUUCCUAAACUCACUCUCAAAUUCUUUUCAAUCACAAAAUCCACCUUGAGCUCCAUAGCUUUAAAUUCGAUGUCACCACCAAAUGACUACUAUAUCUUUCAAAUAACUGACUCCAUACAUAAUUCCUUCAAUGGUAUUUGCUCCAGAUAGUUGGAGGUAUUAUUGCAUGUUGAAGAGCCAUUGACAUACAUCUUCUUGUCUUGAAGUCCUAGAGUAUGUAUUAAGCUUACUUAAUUUGAGCCUAGCAGAUAUUGAUUCCCUUAUCUUAGAGGCUUUUAUUUACCCUUCCAAAGUAGUUUCUCGCCUAUGAGGUGUUGUAUUUGAGCCUCGAUCUAGGAUUACUCCACCAUAUCUCUCACGCUAUAAUUUCCUUAUUAGACUCUAUUAUUGUAAUAUCUUAUCACCUUCCAAUUGACUUUUUAAGAGUAGCUCAUAGUAGCUUCAAUACAAUAUCCAAUAAGAUCUCAAUAAUUAAUCCUGAACUAAAUGAUGGCUAUCAAUAUACUACCAAAGAAUAGUCUAGCACUCACUUUGAUACUAAUGAAACAAGACAAGUCUAUUCCAAGAGUCUAAGAUUCUUUUAAUCCUUAGCAACAUAAAACCUCAUGACAAAGUAAGAUAAAAUGGACUAGUACAAAACUGAAGAGAACUAAAUAGAAUAAGACACGAAAGACAAAACUGAACAAAUGAAAAUAGAACAUAAUAAAACUGAAUAAGAAGAUGUAAAACCAAACUUUACUAAGAGAGAAGGUCCAAAGCCAUACUUGACCAACUGCCCAAAAGGCCUUGGCUAGUCCUAUUUAUAUCUUAUUCUACCACCUUGGACUUUCUAGAAUGUUCUUAGAUAAUGGACUUUACUUAGAUAACUAUUCUAAAUUCUUUCUAGAAGGUUCCAUGGUGGACCUUCCUAAAUAACUAUCCUAAAUUUUUUUAGAAUAUUCUACAAUGGAUCCUACAUAGUCCACUAACUUAGUUCUAAUUUUAAAAACUUCUAUAACUUCUCAAACAUGGUUUCAACUAUCUAUUCCUAUGUGUCAACAAUACAAAUAUCUUAUCCAUAGCUUAUUACAUGCAUACUAUUUUCAUGGAAUUAAAUUAUAUUAUUUUUAACUUGAUGACAAUGUGAUAGAUAGUUGAGGCUAUUGUAGUUUAAGUAUCUAAAUCUAUAGUGCCUUAAUUUAAUCUACUUUGGAUUAUUAAUUGACAUGUUGGAUCUUGCAAUACUUUGUAUAGUAUUAUUUGUGAUGUUAUCUUGUAUUGAGAAGAUGUUAUUGGUUUUGUAUAAACUAUUCCUUCAAGUACAAUGUCCUAUUAUGGUUAACUUGUUGUUUUGGUUGAUGAUUCAACAUUGUUGAUUCUAAAAACUUCUUAUUUCUUAUAAUGUGAUGAGUUACUCCAAAAUCAAGAUACUAUGGAUGAUUCUUCUCAAGUCCUCGUAUAAUCUCAACAAGUAUAAUGAUGAUAUCUUAAAUAGUACUUGAUAUGUUAAAAAUCUUUAUUUGUUACUUUGUUGACAUUGUCAUCUUUUUUUUGCAUCAAAUAUUUGUUGCAGCAAAGACAAGCAGAGUAAUCAAGUGAGCCACAUACAAAACAUUGAAAUCAUGUGUAUUGAUCAUUGCAUAAUUGUCUUUGUUGAAGUCCUUGACCAACAAAGUAAGACUAUCCUUAUGUUGGAUGAAUACCAUGGUCACAUAAGUUAUUUUAAUCUCAAUGCCAAUUACUCUGUGUUCUUCCUCAAUUGCAACUAUAGAAAUUAAAGUAAUUGUAUUUCAAUUGUAUUGCUAGUACAUCUUCUUCUCCCAGUCUAUUUUUGUGCAACUAAAGAUGGUGUUGCUCAUUCAAUAAUUUUCAACUAAUAGAUGCGAAGCUUAGUAAUUUAUCUAAAAUUAUUAAGCUAUAGAUUAUUCCCUCAUAGCUUGAAAGAAAUCUAUUUAACAUAAGUUGAAUGAAUAUUUCAUCUACUACUUUGUGUCCUAUUAUAGAUAGAUUUUUUUAUAGAUCUCACGCAAUUUGCAAGUAUUUUUCAAUCAAAUUACCUUCUGCCAUUCUUAUAUUGUGAAGGCAUGUAGAUAGCAAGAAGAUUUGCAAUGAAUCAUCAACUUCAAAUAUGUUCUUUCAGACUUGCAAUGUAUCUAAAGGAUCAUCAUUCUUUGAAAUAAUUUCUAUGAAUUUAUCUUUUACGGCCAUUACAAUCAAUGUCUAAACCUUGAGCUUGUAAAUCUUCAAUUGUUCAAAUAUGGAUGUCAAUGCUCCUACUAUGGUUGAAAAUUAAAUUCAUACCAUCUUCUUUUCUAUUAGAUUCUACAGAUUUUUUCUCUUUUGUAAUGCCUUCAACUUUAGCUUCCAUAUAUCGUAGUUUGCUAAACCUUCUAACUUGUGCUUUCACUAAUUGUGACCAUAGUUAGUUGUUCUCUUGUCAUUAUAAGUUAGGUGAUAUGAGAACAAAACUACAAGAAACAAAAACUAUUCUAAGAGCUAUGUUCACUAGUAAGUGUCGAGAUUUUAACUCUACUUGGAUACCAUGUUGAGAUCAAUUACAUACUUUUCUUUAUUGAGUAAUGUGUCACUUGAAUACAUGUAAGAUUAGUUUGUCAUUUUGAUAAUUGUUAUUACAAGACUUGAAGAAUCAUACAACAUUGCCAAUUUCAUCCAAAAAUAUUUGAGUUGUUUAUCUAUAGACUAUUGUGAUUAUGCCAAGUUACAAUAGUUCAAGUGAUGAUGUAACAAUGGUAACUAACAAGACGUUGGUCUUGGUGAGUUUACUUCAACAUUUAUAUAGUCUAUAAAUACAGUGAGAGUGAAGUUUUUGUAAAAGAUUGACUUGAAUUUAUCAGGUCGUCUGAAAUCAUGUAUUAAUUCAACACAUAUGAAAUAUAUCAUCACUCUUGCCACGAACUUCGUCUUAGGAGUCCUGUCUAUGGCGUCAACCCUGUGAUGUUGAGGUGAUAGGGGGACUGUAGCUGCGAGGUUCUUUAAUUUCUUAAUUUCAGAACUUUAAGCAAACCUUGCCCUAAAUCAACAUUGAUCUUGCUGCACAUCGUUCAUGUGCGUAGGUAUCGUUCAGCUUCUGAUGCAAGAUAUGAGCAUGGCUUGGAGAAUACCGUGACCUCAGCAAUGUCCUGUGGCCACCUCCACGACCUUGAUCCUUUCUCACCAAAAUAGCAUUGGCGCAUGACAUUGACUUAAAAGGAAGCUCUCAUUAGCUUGACCGAUAUCCUACCGAUCGUCAGGCCGUUAGUGAUUUUGCAAUCUGGCUUUCUGAGGGCACCUGCAUAAUUAAAAGCUUUGCUCACGACCCACAAUUUGCAGAUUAUGUAGUUUUUUCCUUCCCAGCCACUUAUCAACCUGGAUCUGAAUUUGCGUUGAACAGGUUUUUUCUACUAGAUGAAGAUUCUGAUACUAGGGAAAAUUUUCCAUCUGUGAGUACCUGCACAUUAGGUAUCGUCAGAUUGCAAAUUGGAGAAGCCGACAAAUAUUUGAACCAACUCAUGGCAAGAGUCCGUGGCUCCCUGGUAACCCUUCAAGGCGUCUGCCAAAGCCUCUUAAAUCGAGUCUGGAUUUCAACAGUGAGGUUUGCACUUUGCGAUGAUGCAGGAGAAACAGCUUUCACUAGAAAUUGCCUCGGUUCACGCCGCACUGCACGGGUACGAUCUCAGUCAUACAAUUUGUAUCAAACUCUGCAAGCGAUGGACAGCAGAAGAAAGACGAGCUCUCGAGAGUAUUUCCAGUUGCUAAAGACGAGUUGACUGCAAUUCAACUCAUGUUGUAGGAUACGGUAACUCAGAUCAGUCAUGUAAGACGCCCCUAAUUGCCCAAUAAUAAUCGAGUUACCACGAGAGUGUCAAGCGACAUAAUGCCACUCACUAUUCUCUUGGCCCGCAACCAUUCCUCCCAAAAACUAGCAGUGACAAACUUUCAUUUGGGUCAAACGUAUUUCGCAGAUGUCGGAGGAACAUAGCAGGGCAAUGCCAUUUUUUGCAAGUGUGGAGCGACGAGUAUGCAGGUAUUCUUACAGUGGCUCAAUACCUCAACUCCUGCAAAGCUGAAGCAUGACCAACUGAGGCUGGCUACAUCAUGUUGCGGAAGAUGAUAUCUGCUCCGGCUGGUAUUUGCAGGGUUUCUGUUCAAUACAGAUACUCUGCAAGUCAAAAGUUGCACAUGGUCUACGGAACAUGAUAGAACAAGGGUUCCACAGCCACCGACAAGCAAUUUGUUCUCGGAUUUGCUUACCCCAGAAGCACUGCCGAUCAGUACUCCAUUAUCGAUAGUAUUCGUGCAACUUUCAGGUGCACACAGUACUUCACCCUCAUGAAUGUUCCGUGCGUGGAUUAUUUUAGGACCAAGUUAACAUGCAUCCUGCAAUGUACUGACUGCAAGCACCAUCAGGGCAACAGCUGUUGAUUUUUUGGUUGCCGUUCACAUUCUCAUCUGCAGGAUUCUUGUGUCGCCACCACGCCCCAAAUUCUCCCUAUCUCCCUUUUUUUUGCUCGAAAAGACAACACGACCAAUCGGAAUCUAUGCCAGCAGAUACUCCGAUAACGUACUCCGGAUCCCCGAGAGACACAGAUUGCCUUGAAAAUCCUUUCAUGGCUCAGGUCCUAGCUGCAUGAUUUCCGAAAACUGGUAGUCCAGCGGCAUUGACGUUACACCCUGGCGCCUACGAGGACCAGAACCUGCCUCCCACGGACAACCCUGGAGUAGGAGCAGUUGGGCACUUUUCCGCAUCAAUAAGAGUAAUUGCUAAUACAAUUCGAAAGGGAAGGCGGGGUGACCCACUUGUUGAAAUGCUGAACAUGCGGGAUUCAUGUGGGAAACGCUCCCGCACAGUUAAGAGCAUCGAAACACCGAAGUGAGAGAAACGUGGACGAGGGAAUGUCCCAAAGCAUGCAAUCCCCUCACUUGACCAUACACCGAAAAGCAUCCUGCCCUUCACAGAUCCUAAAUUUAGUCAUCCCUAAAAUUCACGCUGCAGCAAAAAUCUCCGUAACCCAGUCACACUAGAGACUCUGAAACAGCACUAUCCACCGCUACUCGUUCAUCAUCAUCGUCGUCGUCGUCGUCGUUUUUGGGGAGCCUGAAAAGCCAUGGCAGCCCAUUGUUCUCGGUGGAGAGAGAAUAUCUGCAAGUGAAUUCGACUUCGGAGGAUCCCUCAUCCUGCAAUCUUCGCCUCCAAGAUCACCAAGACUCCCACUUUUUUGUGCCGAGGUUGACUAUUUUUGCCAUUCUGCUUUAAUGCGGUGUGGGAAGGGUGUUGUUGAUUCUGUCUGUACUUGCGUGAGAUGAUUCGAAAAAUUGAGGGAAAGGGUCUUGGAAAGUGUGCAGAAUUGCGAGUCUGAGUGCGAUUUUGCUGGUCCCUGUUCCUCGUUUCACUUGGUUUUAUUUCUCUCGGUUUAGGAAUUUCGAACUGGAGUGUGGGUUUUGUGCGUGUGAGUUAAACAACUGUGGGUGAGUGAUUAUGAAUGUUUGCAGUUUGCUUCAGUUACCUUCUAAAGGGGAUUAAUCAAUGUUUGUUUAUGCAGUUAUUGAUAAAAGAAAAGUGUGUAGAAAUUCAAGGUGAGGAUAUCAUAAUUAUUGUUACUUAAAAGUAAACAAAAUAUAUAUAUAUAUAUAUAUAUAUACAUAUAAGAAAAAAGCAAGAAAAACAGACAGAAACAGAAAACUCUUUUGCAUGAUGCUUAUUACAAGCUGAAACAUUAGGACCUUAAUAUUCUAGAAUAUUUGUAUUGUAAAUAUAUAUGUUGAAAAUAAUAUGUAUUUUAGGGUUUUGCUUGAACCUUGAAUUUUGAGUCUUAAAAAUAACUAUUGAAGAAAUAAAUUAGAAAAUCAAAUAUGUUUGUAUUUAGAUUAAGAUAUUCCAUAAAUUUUAGAAACAAAAAUUUAAAAAUAUUUUUUAAGUAAAUAAAAAAAUUAAACUAUAUAUGUAUGUGUGUGAAUAUAUAUAUAAAUAUAUAUAUAUAUAUCAAGAGAGAGAGAGAGAUUUUGAAUGAUUAGAUUUUAUGGUGGCCUAACAAUAAAUUUCAGCUUCUUUAUCAUAUAACUUAAAUAAUUAAAGCUAAAAAUAUAUUCCCAAUAAAGACUCUGUUUUUUGGCACCUCAUCUAUUUAUUUUCACCACUUUUUUAACAUAAUUAAAUAUUCUACCAAAUUAAAUUUAUUUUAAGAAACAUGUAAAAGAUACCAAUUAUAAGGUUUUUGAUAUGUCAAAAGAUGUACUUGUGUAUGUUUUAUCUUUAUCUUUAUCUUUUUUUCAUUACAAAGGUAAGAGUAAACCUUGCCAUAUAUUAUAACACCAAAAAGUAUAUUUAUAGAAGAAAAUUAAAUACUUGAAAUAUCUCAAUAAAAAGCAAGUUUGUAUAUUUGAUAAAAUAUAAAAAAAUAAAAAAAACAAAUGACUUAGUAUGUUUAUAAAUGUUUUUUAGAGAAUCUUUUUUUGAAUUUUUACGAAAUUAAAAUCUAUCAUGCAAUUGUUUGGUAUCUUAAAUCUUAAUUUUAGAUCUUGAUCCUAAAAUCAAAUUUUAAACUAAAAUUCUAAAUAUUGAUUUAAAUUCUAAAUUUAAAAAUAUGAUCCGAAAUACUCAUCUUAGGUUUCUGAAUGAAACUCUAAUUUUGAGCCUCAAGAAAAAUCUUUAAGAAUUAGAAAAAGAUAAAAAAAAUAAAUAAAUAAAUAAAAAAUACAUAUUUUUGUUUAAAUAAAGAUAAUUGUGAAAUGAUAAUAAUGAAAAAAUAAAAAUAUGUUUCUUUAAGUGUACAAAAAAAUGUAAACUUAUUAUUUUUUCUUUUAAUAUAUCUAUAUAUAUAUAUAUAUAUAUAUAUAUAUAUAUAUAUAUAUUCAUUACAAAUAAAUGAGAUUUUUAUUUAGAUUUUAUAAUGCUCUAAUAAUGUAUAAUAUCUCCUUCAUCACAUAUCACAUAUAAAUAAAUCAUUAAAUUUUUUUAUAACAAGGAAUUUAUAAUAUAUAUAUAUAUAUAUAUAUAUAUAUAUAUUUUUUACAAUUAAAAAAUUAAAUUGUUGUAUAUAUGUAAUUUAAUUACUUUUAAGAAAAUAUCUUAUAGAUUUUUAAAAUUCAGAAUAGACCAAAAAACAUGUGUUAACAUAUUAGAAUCAUUGUAUAAAUCUAAAGUAACUUAAAUUAUAUUAUUUUUAGUACUAUUGCUAUAUUUCUACUCUCGUAAAUAAUAAUUCUAUUAUUUUUUACAUUUUAAUACAACUAAUACUAGAAAUAAUUCCAAUUUUAAAAAAAUUGAUCAAUUAAGAAAUCAAAGUAAAAGAUUUUAUUUAAUUUUUUUAGAAGUAUGAAUACUAAAUAAUAAAAUUCUUAAAUUUGCAAUAAAUGCAAUACAAUGACUUUAAUCAUGCCAAUUAAACAAUAUUUUAUCAGAAUAUACAUAGUUCAAACAAUAUUCUAGCAAGUAAUGUCUUAAACAUUUUCUUUGUCAUAAUUACAAUCACCAAAGUAAUAUAUUCUCAUAUUUUUUAUUCAUAUAAAUAAUAAAAAAAUAUUGAUUUAUUAUUACCUUUGAAUAUUAAAUCUGUUUACAAUAUUUUUAAUUAAACUGUAUAUGGAAUAAUUUUUAAUUUACUUAAUUUCUUUUAUUUUUCCUCGAUAUUUUAAAAAAUAAAUUAUUCUAAAUUAAAAUUAUGCCAAACAAUCUGUUUUUUUAGCAUCUUUUAUACAAUUUUUAAAUUUUUAAAUUUUUCUUGCAUUCAUUUUUCAUAUUUUAAUUGGAUUUUAAUUAAAAAAUAAAUCAAACAUUAUAAUAUACCAACAUUUAGUUCUUCUAAAGUCUAAAUUAUUUCAUUUUAUAUAAAACUCAAUUAAAUAUUAGAUUUGUCUUAUAGAUCAUGUUAAACAUUUUUUUAUCUACAUACAUUAAGUGAUACUAAUAUUUUAAAAUGUUUUAUUAAAUGGUUCUAUUUAUUGAUAUCUAACUUAAUGUUAUUUUUUGUUUAACAUAAAUCAUAUAUUUGAUGACAACUAUUUAUAAUAGUCACUUUUUAAACAUUAAAUAUUAUACAUUUAUAGUAUAUUUUUAGUUUACAACAAAAUAAACAUAUAUAGUUAUUGAUGCUAAAUAUACCUAAGUUUAUUUGCAGCCAAUCUAUGAGUCAAUAUAUGCAUACAAAAUUUACAUAUUGUUUAAAUUUAUAGUUGCAAUUACUUUACUUAAACAAAUUUUGUUU